GAGCUAUAAUAAAUUAAGCCGCUAACUUAAUAAAUAACAUUUAAUAAUGUUAAUAACUCU
rnacentral:tRNA from 1 species